GGAUGAACGCUGGCGGCGUGCCUACUCCAUGCAAGUCGAGCGAACGGACGAGAAGCUUGCUUCUCUGAUGUUAGCGGCGGACGGGUGAGUAACACGUGGAUAACCUACCUAUAAGACUGGGAUAACUUCGGGAAACCGUAGCUAAUACCGGAUAAUAUUUUGAACCGCAUGGUUCAAAAGUGAAAGACGGUCUUGCUGUCACUUAUAGAUGGAUCCGCGCUGCAUUAGCUAGUUGGUAAGGUAACGGCUUACCAAGGCAACGAUGCAUAGCCGACCUGAGAGGGUGAUCGGCCACACUGGAACUGAGACACGGUCCAGACUCCUACGGGAGGCAGCAGUAGGGAAUCUUCCGCAAUGGGCGAAAGCCUGACGGAGCAACGCCGCGUGAGUGAUGAAGGGCUUCGGAUCGUAAAACGCUGUUAUUAGGGAAGAACAUAUGUGUAAGUAACUGUGCACAUCUUGACGGUACCUAAUCAGAAAGCCACGGCUAACUACGU
rnacentral:rRNA from 1 species